AAGGCCCGGGCCACUGUAUGAUUUUAUUUUAUAAAACCAAAUCCCUCUGGACAACCUGAGUGCUACCCACAAGUAAAUGACUGGAAAAAAUAGCCUCUAACUGGUGAAAAGGCCUCAACUUCAUUUAAGCAAUUAUUCAGGGGACUGGGGCAGCUUUGAAGGUAACAACAGUUUAUUUGCCGAGAUUAAUUCGUCAGUAAUAUUGAUUGUCGGGGGCCUGCUUCAUUCUGUUUAAGAUUCCACAAGGCACAGACAGCAGCAACUCGUGCGUGAUUUUUCCCUCUAGAAUUUCCAGGAUGUCGAGGAGACGCCGUGAAGCAAGUUCUGUCAAACUAGAUCUUGCCAGCCCGAUCCCCAGGACAUUGCACAGUUCAAAGUUCACAGACGUGAAUUGUGAAGAUUCUUCUAGAUGGAAAUAUCUCAGCUCAUAAUCCUCGAAAGAAUAAGUGCCUGGAGCUUCCAAGUCUGCCAUCUUGCCAAUGUCAUUCCUGAGCAUGCGUAUUUUUAAGGUUCUUGAUGAAAUGAGAAGUUUUGAGGACUGUAAGAAUCCUGUAUCCUUUGAACUAGCAUUUGCCAAAGUUUGGAACACAAAUUUCUCAAGAUGCUCUGGAAGAGAAGUGGGGAGGAAGAGGGUUUCCUAGUAAAAUAAGGUUGGGAGUUACAGCAGACUAUUGCCUGUAGAUAGAGGCAUAUUGAAAGCUCUAGAAAGUCCUGCAAUAAAGAAGCCCAUUUGAUUCUAUUAAAGCCAAUAUUCCCAGACUUGACUGAUCAAAAAAUACUUUUGUUUUCCAAAGGAUCAAUCUCCUCCAGAACUCAUGUUUCUGAACAAAAUGUGGGAAAUGCUGCUUAAAGCUUCCUGAGAGCUCAUGAGAACUAAUUUUCAUGUAGCCAAGCUGCAAUGAAUUUUGUGAUGUUUUCCCAAAUAAUCAAGGGGCUAGAACAAAGCCAGAGUGAAACCCAGGUCUAAAAUCCUCAUGAGUGCAGCUUGUAGCCCUGCUUCAUUCAUUUUCACCUAUUUCUGGAAGCCCCUAACUUCCAGUCUCCAGGAGAGGAAGAUGUUUCAGACAAGGCAGGAUUAGACAACACCAGGCUGAGUACGGUGACUUCUUCUGGGAUGUGUAAAGCAAUUGUCUCAAAUAUAAUAUCUGUGUUCUUAGAAAACAUUACACUAUUUUCUCAUUGACUUUUGUGUUUUGAUACCAAAAAAAAAAAAAAAAGGAUUCUCAGGCAAUUUUUUUUUAAUUUUGUGUGUAUACGUGUGUUUUAAGCAUUAGAUUGCUUCAUGGUCUGCACAAAUAAGAUUGCAUGCAUCAGUUUCAGUCCCUAGCAUGGACUCAUCAUCAUCAAUAUCUGCCACCAAGAUCUGUUUGUCUUCUACUUUGGACUCUCAUGAGACUUGGCAUGUUGUAUGAAUUUCACUUUCUUAAUUUUGAUGAAAGCCAAUAGUGUUCUCUUUCAUUGUUUGAUGUAUCUGUGUCUUUUCUCCUCAACUAAGAGAAUAAAAUGCUCAAAGAUAGAUUACUUAGCCAGGAAAACAGAAGUCAUUGUAUGUACUCAAGGUUUGGAGGUCUUAAUGUUGGAAUUAGAGGCCUACACAAGCAUUGGAAGGGCUGGGAGAAUGAAAGUGAAAUCCUCAUCCUGAAGCGCCGUAAGUGAGUGAUUCUCCAACAGCUUGCUAGGAAGGCAAUUCUCAAGAAAGUCUGGGAAGCUCCUAACACCUCCUUCUACAGCACCAGAAUGAGCCAUUCUCGGAGUUCUCCAGAAAGCUACUGAAAACCUCAUGUCAUCUUAUGCCAUUGGCUAUAAUUGCCUCCAAAGAAAAAUGGCUCCUUCUCUCUCACUUUCCAAAUAUCACACCCGUGCUUCCCAUAGGCAAAUUCUAACCUAGAACCACACAGGGAAGGGACUUCUGGGAAAUGUAGCUCCUGGCUUCUUCCUGCUUCAGGGAGAAUGAGAAUCUUCUCUUGGAAGGAGACUGAUGCUGAAUUAACAACAGACGGCAAUAGCGGAGCUAAACACCACUCUUUGCACACUAAUUGGCACUAACUAAUUGCCUGAUGGAAAUGAUUGGGUGUAAGUCAAAUCAUUGUAGGUGAAGCUGGCCAGUUAGAACACUCUCUCUAAACAUCACUGUCUUGAUUGAUGUCUUAACAUACAUUUGAGCACUAUAUUAUUAUUUACUUCAUACUUUUAAUCUAAAUCAUUACUCUUUUAUUUAA